GUUCACAUUUGUCUUGCAGCCGAC
rnacentral:siRNA from 1 species